UUUUUUUUUAGGGCUGCAUAUAUGGCAUAUGGAGGUUCCCAGGCUAGGGGUCCAAUCGAGCUGUAGCUGCUGGCCUAUACCACAGCCACAGCAAUGCAGGAUCCAAGCAGCAUCUGCCACCUACACCACAGCAAUGCCAGAUCCUUAUCCCACUGAGUGAGGCCAAGGAUUGAACGAACCUGCAUCCUCAUGGAUGCUAUUAGGGUUCUUUAACCACUGAGCCAUGACGGGAACUCCAGGAAUUGGAGAUUUAAAAAGAUGCAAACACUGUGGCUAACAGAGAAACAAUCUAGUUUCUCUCCAUUUCUUUCUAUUCCCAAUUUCCUAGCCUCCAAUUUUCCAUCAGUUGCUUCCCAUUGCACAAACUAGCAAGAAAUCAGCAGAUAUGGAUGGCUAAGAAGCAUUGUCUACAGAGCAGUGGAGAGGAGAGAUACAGGCAGAAAAUAGAACUGAAAGCCAAGGACUGGCAUAAGAAAGGCAUGAUUUCUAGUCAAAAGAAAUGACUAUAUUCUUGGAUCUGGUAUGUGGUUUAGAGUUGUCUCUACAGCACAGAAUAGCAGAAGGAAUGACUGAAGGGUCAUCGUCACCUCAAUGAGAAUUAUGCAUUUAUGUCCAAAACCGAAGGACUUUGUUCCGGGUGCUAUUUGAGAACACUGGCUAUGAGAGAAUUGAUUGGCUUAGACUGAGGAAAGCUGCCAUGGUCAGUGAAGGGCCCACAAAACCCUGCCAACACAAAGAGCUCAGGGCACUAUUAUUCUCUUGGUUGGUAAAUUGGACCAAAUAUCUAUGCCCUUGAGAAUUCAAGAUCCCAAGACCAGAAAAGCUUUUUAUGUCAAGUGAAUAGAAACAGAAAGAGGAAUGAGAUUUUAUUUUAUGAGAAUAACAACGAAAUAAUAGAUAAUGAAGUACAACAUCAAAAUCUCUAUCACCAGAAACUAAUAUUUUACAGUAAAAAUGACCCACAAUAUUUUACCAAUGGUUAAAUUGUGCAUUGGAAUUAUAAAGUUAUUUAUUUAUUUAUUUUUGCCUUUUCUAGGGCCGCUCCUGCAGCAUAUGGAGGUUCCCAGGCUUGGGGUCUAAUUGGAGCUGUUGCCGCCAGCCUACGCCAGAGCCACAGCCACACAGGAUCCAAGCCAUGUCUGCAACCUACACCACAGCUCACGGCAACGCUGGUUCCUUAACCCACUGAGCAAGGCCAGGAAUCAUACCCGCAACCUCAUGGUUCCUUGUCGUAUUCGUUAACCACUGAGAUAUGACGGGAACUUCUAGAAAGUUAUUUAGAAACAGAGAAUAUAUUCUUACAGUUUUUACUGUUAAAUAAAAUGAAAGUAGGUUAUCAUCCUUAAAAUUAUCAGAAGUUUUAGUAAAAUGUGAGUUCCUGUUGUGAUGCAGCGGAUUAAGAACAUGACAUAGCGUCUGUGAGGAUGCGGGUUCGAUCCCUGGCCUUGCUCAGUGGCUUAAGGAUCUGAUGUUGCCACAAACUGCAGUGAGGUUUGUAGAUGUGGCUUGGAUCUGGUGUUUCCACGCUGUGGUGUAGGCUGGUAGCUGCAGCUCCCUUUCAACGCCUAGCUCGGGAACUCCCAUAUGUGCAAGUGCAGCCAUUAAAAAAAAGAAAAUGAAAAAAGAAAAAAAAAAGAAAUUUUAUUAAAAUGCGUUACUGUUCCCAAGAGUUUGUUGCCCCUCCCUGUAGUGGAGUUAUUGGCCAUGUGGUUUUCUUUGAUCAAUCACCAAGAGUGGUAGCAUUUUCUGUCUAUAUUCUAGGCAGAGGAUUUAAGAGCCAACACACAGGUCUGCCAUUGCUCUUUUCCCACUGCCUUGAGAUUGUCAUAUCACAAAUAAGGUACUGCUGGCCUGUAGAAGAUAUUUGAUCUGAUGGCACAAAUAUCCCUAGUAAAUAAAUAUCCCUUACAAACCACUGAGAUCAUGGGGUGUUGAGAUUUUGGUUAUUGCAGCAUAGUUGAGUGGAAGCUGACUGAUGAAAAUCUUGAUAGAGAGUGAGUUCUUCUAUCACUGAGACAAUUUAGGUGACCCUUCUUGAGCUAUUUAGCCCCUGAUCAUCUUUAAGAUAUCAUUUAAGUUACAUUUCUCCUGGCACUAUUUUCUUAACGAAUGCCACCAUAUCAGGCCAGCUUUCUUUGUUUAACCUAUUGUAGAAAUUUGCUUCUUUGUGAGCAACUAUUAUUUUAAAAUUUUAUGUCAAAUCUUAUUAGAUGUUUUAUUUCAUUCCAAUGGUCGUUUCAUUAUCCCCUGUUCCCGAGCAACACUAUACUUUCAGGCAAUCAUUUCAUCGCAAUUACUAAAUCAUUCACUAAGUUCUCUGAAUCUACACUCCUUUUAAAAUGCUCCUGUCAGAAACAUGCACGUAUUUUGAGUAAUGAAAAAUGCAUAACACAACCAACUGUUUUGCCUAAAACACAGCUAUAUAUUACCCAUCUGAUUCUUUAUGCAUUUUAAAGUAUAUCUGUAGUUGUGCUUAUUAUAUUCUUAAAAUAUUGCUUUCUCAAAUAUUGUUUGUUAUUGAGGUAUAAUUGACAUAUAGCAUUAGGAUAUGUACAACAUAACAAUUCAGUAUUUGUAGAUAUUGCAAAUUGAUCACCACAGUGAAUCUAGUUAACGUCUAUUACUAUGCAUAUUUACAGAAUUGUUUUCCUUAUGAUGAACACUUUUAAGAUUUACUCUCUUAGCAACUUUAAAUAUGCAAUACAGUAUUAUUAACUCUAGUUGCCGUUUUGUACACUACAUCCCCAUGACGUUAAUGUUUAAAUAUAUAAAGGUCUUUAAUCCAAAGUAAAUAUCUUAUAUAAGACAAAAAAAUUUAUAUUUGCUAUUUAUAAUUCCAAGCCCAUUAUUUUUCAAAAUUCAAGAUUCUACUAUGUCUUCAUUGACAUCACUAAUGAAUGCCGUGAAAUGUUUGAUUUGUGCUAUUUCAUUUCAGCUGACCUAAGGGCCACAGAGUUGUACUUAUUGAUUUAAUUUAGAGAAUGUAAGGUGUCCGGAGACCUCUAAAUUUAUCUCAGGCCAAUCUUAUGCCUUUUCCCCUUUACUCUUGCUUCAAAUUUUCAUUUCUUUGAGAUGAUAUAUUUGUAUGGACUGAUCAAUUUAUAUUCAGAAUAAUUAGUAGUUUGUGUUAUGGAAAAGCUCUUCAAUCAUAAGUGAUGUUAAAAUAAAAUUAAAAUAGUGUAUGACAUAGUAUGCUUCAGCUGUUUGUGUAAAUAUGAUAUUUUUUGGAAUUUGUGCUGUAUGCAGAGAUAAUUUGAGUGUAUUUUCUCCCUCAUCUGGAAUGAGGAGAAAGAGAGAGAGGGAAAAAUGGAAUACCAUGACAAACAUGGUUUUGGGAGUUCCCAUCAUGGCUUAGUGGUAACAAAUCUGAUUAUAUCUGUGAGGACUCAGGUUCAAUCCCUGGCCUCGCUCAGUGGGUUAAGGAUCUGGUUUUGCCAUGAGCUGUGGUAUAGGUUGUAGACGUGUCUUGAAUACCCAGUUGCUGUGGCUGUUGCAGAGACUGGCAGCUAUAGCUCAGAUUCAACCCCUAGCCUGGGACCUUCCAUAUGCUGUGGGUACAGCCCUAAAAAAGACCAAAACAAAACAAAAUGAAACAAAACUUAGUUUUAGGUAGCAGUCAAUUUUUUUUUCAUAAAAGUACUAGCCUUCACAAUUUUUCUCGAUUAAAAUUAUUACUUUCUAUGUUUACCAAAGCAGACAGACAGUUCAGGAGGAGGGAAGGGUAGAGUGAGAGUUUGGGGUGGAAAUGUGCUAAAAUUAGGUUGUGAUGAUGAUCCAACAACUCUAAGUGUAAUAAAAUUCAUUGAAUUAUUUAAAAAACUAUUACUUUUAAUUAUCUCCAUUAAUUAUGACUAUUAAUGACAUCAAAUACAAUAUGUUUUAUGUAAUUGACAAAAUAAGAAGUGAAGAAGCAGAAAAAUCAAACUAUUUACUUACUGAUAAGGAUAGGGAGCGACACAAUUAAUUAUUUUCGGCUGCACGUGUGGCAUAUGGCAGUUCCCUGGCUAGGGAUCAAACUCACACCACAGCAGUGACCCAAACACUGCAGUGACAGCACUGGAUCCUUAACCUAUUGGGCCACAAGAGAACUCCAAGGGAGUGAUAUUAUUUAAAGCUAAACUGAGAUUUCCUUUCCCUAUAGUGCCAAAAUUCCUCUUUGAAUAUAUAUUGUGAAAGUAUGUGUGUUUCCAAUACAAAAUCCAUCUUAUUUCUAUAUGCCAGCAAUGAAAAAUCAGAACUAAAAAAUUUUAAAUAUAUAAUGCCAUUUGCAUUAGCACCAAAAAUGUGUAUUUACUUAGGUAUAAAUCAUAUAAAAUAUGUGCAUGAUCUAUGCUAGAAACUGAAAGCUUCUGAGAGAAUUCAGCAGACACAGACAUAAGUAGAGAGGUACACCAUAUUCAUAGAUUGGAAGAUUAAGUCUUGUUGAUAAGCCAGUUCUCCUGUUUAAAACCAUAGAUUCAACAUGAUCCCCACUGAAUUCUCAGCAGGCUAUAUUCAUAGGUAAGCUGCUCAAUAAUUCAUUCAAUAUGAAAGGUGUACUCACUCAUUACUAAUGCCCUUUCUGUCUUUAUAAAGUCUCAAGUUAAGAAAUGACGUCAGUGCUAUUAGAUAAAAUACCUAUGAUCUGGGUGUAACUGACAGCAUCUCUUGGCCUCUGAAUUUGGUAGAAUCUAAGCGAGCAGAAGAUCCUCUUGUUCUAGUUCCAUUGACACAAUUAUAGAUACUAUUAAUAUGAGAGUGUUUCCUUUUUUUCUGUAUAAUCUAUUGGAUAUUUAGGAAGACUAUUUUAUAGUCAUUUGGAAGAAAUUGAAGAAAUAAAAGUUUAAAAAACCCAAAUAACACCAAAGUUGGUGUUAAAGGGAAAUUUAAAUCAUUAUAUUGAGAUGGCUAUGAAAAGAAAAUAGAGAAUCAGAUCAUCAC
ensembl:lncRNA